GAGACCCUCGCUGCUACUUGCUAUUUCUUAUCCUCGGAUUAGAAAGCACAAUAGCAGGACCGCGCCUGUAAAGGCGAGGAAGGUGAGGGCGACGUCAAGUCAGUAUGCCCCGAAUGUCUCGGGCUACACGCGCGCUGCAAUGCGUAAGGCAAUGAGAUGCAACACCGAAAGGUGAAGCCAAUCCCAUAAACUUACGCUCAGUUCAGAUCGAGGGUUGCAACUCACCCUCGUGAGGCCGGAAUCCCUAGUAACCGUGUUUCAUCAUGGCACGGUGAAUAU
rnacentral:rRNA from 1 species